rnacentral:rRNA from 1 species
CAGUCGCCGCGGGAAUACGUAGGUGGCAAGCGUUGUCCGGAAUUAUUGGGCGUAAAGGGCUCGCAGGCGGUUUCUUAAGUCUGAUGUGAAAGCCCCCGGCUCAACCGGGGAGGGUCAUUGGAAACUGGGAAACUUGAGUGCAGAAGAGGAGAGUGGAAUUCCACGUGUAGCGGUGAAAUGCGUAGAGAUGUGGAGGAACACCAGUGGCGAAGGCGACUCUCUAGUCUGUAACUGACGCUGAGGAGCGAAAGCGUGGGGAGCGAACAGGAUUAGAUACCCGAGUAGUCCCUGUCUCUUAUAC